CGGAAUCUUCUCUCUUAGAGUCGCUUAGGUCUAAUUUGCGCCUGGAUAUUCAGCAUGAACUCCUAUAUGAGGAAAUACUCAGCAUAUCAAAACUUCGGCAUUUUGUCAGAACUCGAGAGAUCUUCCUACAAACGGUAGGAAAUCACGCUUUACCAAAAUCUCGUCCAGUGCCGAUGCCGCGCCGAUCUGUCAAUGCAGUUCAAUGUCAGGUAGAGUGUGAAACAGAAACCGAGGUAUCGGAUGACGAAGAAAUGGGAAUAGCCGCCCUUAAUUUAGUGUGCUGGAAUUGUGAAGCAACUGGUCACCGCUACCAGGAUUGCGAUAGCCCGGUUCGUCGCGUAUUUUGCUACGGCUGUGGAAAGGCGGAUACAUACAAGCCGUCCUGUAAAAAAUGUAAUAGUUCAAAAAACUGGGUAGCCCGUGCACAGCCGAAAAGUGCACGCAAACAGAUGAGCUCGAAAGCAACCAAUACCGACUAGAUGUUGUUAGUGACACAUCAACCACUUCUCCACUUAUAAUUUCCUUUUUACCAGACGUUCAAAAUCAGGAUUAUAUCUCCCCAGAAUUCGACCAACCAAUCCACAAGGAUGAAAACUCAAACAAUGUGUCGCGCUCCGUUGCCCGGCGCACUGCAUUUCAUAAAAUGUGCAGACAGGAACGAAAGAUAUUGUCUUCAACAGUAGUAGCCAACUCCCAGGACAUUAGACCUUAUGCCGAUGUUUUUAUUUUAGGCAAAACUGUUAACGGCUUGCUUGACACAGGCGCAUCGAUAAGCUGUAUCGGAGGUCGUUUUGCUCAAGAAUUCAUUGAAUCAAAACACCUAUACAAAGCUUUAGGGUCGAAUGUUCGCACUGCCGAUGGCAAAGCGCAGGAAAUAAUCGGAAAAAUAACCACCGAACUCAAAUUUCGUGGGAAAUCACAUCGGUUGACCUUAUACCUUGUUCCCUCCUUGUCACAAGACCUAUAUUUGGGAAUUGAUUUCUGGAAAACCUUCGACUUGCUGCCUUCAUGUUUUGUAUCAGAGCGCCUUUCUGCCUUAGAUGUCACUCCCUUGAGGACAUUAUAUACUGAACAACAUGACUUAUUGUUAGAAGCAAUCAACUGGUUUCCAUCUUUUUCUAAACUUGGUUUAGGGCGAACUUCAGCUUUUUCUUACGUAAUAGAAGUGGCAGAUGCUAUACCUGUAAAGCAGAGGCAUUAUCCAGUCUCCCCAGCCGUGGAAAAACUUAUGUACGAGGAGCUGGAUAGAAUGCUCAAUCUAGGCGUGAUUGAGGAAUCUGUGAGUGCUUGGUCUUCUCCGGUCGUUCUCGUCCGGAAGCCAGGCAAGGUGCGUCUAUGUUUGGACAGCAGGCGAGUAAACGCUGUCACAGUCAAAGAUGCAUACCCCAUGCCGUUUAUAGAGGGCAUUCUCAGCAGACUUCCGAAGGCUGAAUACAUUACAAGUCUCGACCUCAAAGAUGCUUUUUGGCAAAUUCCUCUAUCUAUAUCGUCACGUGACAAAACCGCCUUUAGUGUUCCUGGCAGGCCUCUAUACCAAUAUACCGUUAUGCCAUUUGGUCUUUGCAACGCCCCACAGACAAUGUCAAAGUUGAUGGAUCGAAUUAUUCCUGCUCACCUACGCAGAGAAGUGUUCAUCUAUUUGGAUGAUCUCUUGAUAGUGUCAGAUUCGUUCGAGAGGCAUUUGGCUGUACUGAAAGAUGUUGCGGGACAAUUAAAACAAGCAGGCUUGACCAUCAACAUCGAGAAAAGCCAUUUCUGCCUAAAAGAGGUCAAAUAUUUGGGCCAUGUUGUCGGAAACGGUACUAUCAGUACAGAUCCCGAUAAGAUUGCCGCGAUUACAGAUUUUCCUAUCCCUCGUUCUGUGAAACAGGUUAGACGGUUUCUGGGAAUGACGGGGUGGUACCACAAAUUUAUUUGCAAUUAUGCAUCCAUUGCGUCACCCAUAACCGAUACAUUAAAAUCGCAUCGCAAAUUUUGUUGGAAUGAAGAUGCGCAGAAAGCGUUUGAAUCGUUGAAGUUGAAGCUCAGUUCAGCACCAGUCCUUCAUAGCCCAAAUAUCGAAAAACCUUUUGCGAUUCAUUGUGAUGCAAGCCAUACUGGUGUGGGUGCCGUGUUGGUCCAGGUUAACCAGGAUGGCGAUGAAGUACCCAUAGCAUUUAUGUCUCGCAAGCUUAACCAAUGCCAGAGAAACUACUCUGUCACAGAAAAAGAAUGUUUGGCAGCUAUUCUAGGCGUUAAGAAGUUUAGAGCUUACGUCGAGGGUCAAGAAUUCUCUAUAAUUACGGACCAUGCUUCCCUAAAAUGGCUGAUGUCACAGUCAGACCUAAGCUCGCGGUUAGCUCGUUGGGCAUUAAAACUGCAAGGUUUUGAGUUUAAGAUAACACACCGUAAGGGUACCCAAAACGUUGUGCCGGACGCACUGUCCCGUACUCAUAAUGAUGAUUUAUCCGAAAUAAGUCUUGGCACGAUUGUGGAUCUGGAUUCGGAAUACUUCCGUUCAGUCGAGUAUAAGAAUCUGGCCGAUAAGAUAGAAGCGAACCAGUCCCACACGCCCGACAUUAAGGUAGUUGAUGGAUACAUUUACAGGCGAGCUGAGCAUACCACAGGAGACAAGAUUGCAGACGAUUUAUGUUGGAAAUUAUGGAUUCCAAAGGACAUGGUUCCGGAAAUUCUCAAAUCCGCUCAUGAAUCUCCCUUGUCUUCCCACGCUGGCAUUUGUAAAACCCUUGAUCAACUGCGUCGAUAUUUUUUCUGGCCAAACUUAGUAACUGACGUGAAAAAUUACAUCAAUAGCUGCGAUAUGUGUAAAUGCACGAAGUAUCCUAACUAUACCUUACGUCCGCCCCUAGGCAAAACGGCUGAAACGCAACGCGUUUUCCAAAAGCUAUUUGUUGAUUUUCUAGGACCUUACCCUAGGAGUCGCUCAGGGAAUAUUGGUAUAUUUGUGGUGCUAGACCAUUUCUCUAAAUUCCCUUUCUUGAAAACAGUAAAAAAAUUCACAGCUGAAUCUGUCAUUCGUUUCCUCGAAGAAGAUAUCUUCCACUGCUUCGGUGUUCCGGAGGUUGUUGUUUCCGAUAAUGGCGUCCAGUUUAAGUCCAAUAGCUUCAAUGCACUUCUGGAAAAAUACAAAAUUAAGCAUUGCUAUACAGCCAUCUAUGCUCCUCAAGGCAAUGCGUCUGAAAGGGUAAAUAGAUCGGUAAUUGCCGCCAUAAAAUCCUACAUAAAACCGGAUCAGAAGAACUGGGAUGAACAGCUAAGUCAUAUAUGCUGUUCGUUGCGUUCAAGCGUUCACUCAGGUGUAAGUUCCAGCCCUUAUCGUAUGGCAUUUGGUCAACAUAUGGUUACGAGUGGAUCUCAGUACGACCUCUUGCGCAGAUUAGAACUUUUGGAAGAUAGAACUGUGCAGUUUAACAGGGAGGAUUCCUUCGACUUGAUUCGCUCAAAGGCAAAACAGUCCAUGCUGCGACAACGCAUUCGAAAUGAGCGGAAUUAUAACAAACGAAGCCGAGAAGUUUCUUUUGCAGUUGGUCAGGAAUUAUUCCGUCGUAACUUUCAACAAAGUAAUUUUGCAAAAGGCUUCAACGCCAAACUGGCUCCAAGUUUCAUCAAGGCAAGAGUGAGAGCUAGAUUGGGUAAUAGCUAAUACGAAAUUGAGGAUUUGCAAGGUCGUUUAGUUGGAAAAUAUCACGCAAAAGAUUUGAGGCAAUAAUGAUUAAAGUAAUUCCAGCGCGGAUCACUCUUUCCAUGCAGUCACCAUGAAAAGUGUGAUUUAGCAGGGGGGUGUUGUAGUGGCGCUGGGAGUUGCAGCUGAACACAAAAUAAUUACAAGCAGCGAAUGAUAUUAUCGCAUGCGAUAAAGUUAGAUAAAUUAUGCUGACAGAAUCAAAGCUUAGCUCAGCAAAGCUUAGCUGUUAAAUCAGCUGAUUGGGUGAAGCUUUCGUUGAUGACAGCUGUCAACAUAAGCUUUNGAAGCCGAGAAGUUUCUUUUGCAGUUGGUCAGGAAUUAUUCCGUCGUAACUUUCAACAAAGUAAUUUUGCAAAAGGCUUCAACGCCAAACUGGCUCCAAGUUUCAUCAAGGCAAGAGUGAGAGCUAGAUUGGGUAAUAGCUACUACGAAAUUGAGGAUUUGCAAGGUCGUUUAGUUGGAAAAUAUCACGCAAAAGAUUUGAGGCAAUAAUGAUUAAAGUAAUUCCAGCGCGGAUCACUCUUUCCAUGCCUUCACCCUGUAAAGUGUGAUUUUAGCAGGGGGGUGUUGUAGUGGCGCUGGGAGUUGCAGCUGAACACAAAAUAAUUACAAGCAGCAAAUGAUAUUAUCGCAUGCGAUAAAGUUAGAUAAAUUAUGCUGACAGAAUCAAAGCUUAGCUCAGCAAAGCUUAGCUGUUAAAUCAGCUGAUUGGGUGAAGCUUUCGUUGAUGACAGCUGUCAACAUAAGCUUUUAGAACAC
rnacentral:lncRNA from 1 species